rnacentral:RNase_P_RNA from 20 species
UCAGCUGGCUGGGCGGCCGCUCCCGUCAUGAGCCGAAAGGCGGCGGGAGAGGAAAGUCCGGGCUCCACGGAGAAACGGUGCCGGAUAACCUCCGGCGAGGGAAACCUCAGGGAAAGCGCCACAGAAAACAGACCGCCCCGCCUUCAGUUCGGCCGAGAGCCAUGGGAACGCAUGGGCGAUAGCCGGCCGCACUGAUGGCGGGGUAAGGGUGAAACGGUGGGGUAAGAGCCCACCGCGUCUUCGGUAACGAAGGCGGCACGGCAAGCCCCACCGGGAGCAAGACCGAAUAGGGACGGCGCGGAUGGCGCAAGCCUUCCAUCAGCUCCGGGACAGCCGUCCGGGUGGGUUGCUCGAGGCGUUCCGCAAGGAACGUCCCAGAGGAAUGGUCGCCGCGCAUGCGCCUUGACGGGUUCAUGCGUACAGAACCCGGCUUACAGGCCGGCUGACGCU